AACGAACGCUGGCGGCAUGCCUAACACAUACAAGUCGAACGAAGCCUUCGGGCUUAGUGGCGCACGGGUGCGUAACGCGUGGGAAUCUGCCCCUCGGUUCGGAAUAACACAGAGAAAUUUGUGCUAAUACCGGAUAAUGACUUCGGUCCAAAGAUUUAUCGCCGAGGGAUGAGCCCGCGUAAGAUUAGCUUGUUGGUGGGGUAAUGGCCUACCAAGGCGACGAUCUUUAGCUGGUCUGAGAGGAUGAUCAGCCACACUGGGACUGAGACACGGCCCAAACUCCUACGGGAGGCAGCAGUGGGGAAUAUUGGACAAUGGGCGCAAGCCUGAUCCAGCCAUGCCGCGUGUGUGAUGAAGGCCUUAGGGUUGUAAAGCACUUUUGUCCGGGAAGAUAAUGACUGUACCGGAAGAAUAAGCCCCGGCUAACUUCGUG
rnacentral:rRNA from 1 species